rnacentral:rRNA from 1 species
UACGUAGGGUGCGAGCGUUUAAUCGGAAUUACUGGGCGUAAAGCGUGCGCAGGCGGUUUUGUAAGUCAGAUGUGAAAUCCCCGGGCUCAACCUGGGAACUGCGUUUGAAACUACAAGGCUAGAGUGUAGCAGAGGGGGGGUAGAAUUCCACGUGUAGCAGUGAAAUGCGUAGAGAUGUGGAGGAAUACCAAUGGCGAAGGCAGCCCCCUGGGUUAACACUGACGCUCAUGCACGAAAGCGUGGGGAGCAAACAGG